ACGUUGAUAGGUUGGGUGUGUAAGUGCUGUGAGGCAUUGAGCUAACCAAUACUAAUUGCUCGUGAGGCUUGACCAU
rnacentral:rRNA from 1 species